rnacentral:rRNA from 1 species
GUCUAUGGCCAUAGAGUGUCCCUGAUCCCGUCUGAGCUCGGAAGCUAAGCAGGGUCGGGCCUGGUCAGUACCUGGAUGGGAGACCACCUAGGAGGACCAGGUGCUGUAGGCA